rnacentral:tRNA from 1 species
AGACUAUUAGUUUAAAUAAAACAUUUGAUUUCGGCUCAGAAACUUAUGGUUAAAGUCCAUAAUCGUCUU